UACGGAUUCUUCCCUGGAAAGCUGAGGUUUUUUGCUGCGGGGAAGUAUAGAAAUAAAAAUGAGAGAGGGUGUGUAAAUGACAGUUUUCGACUUACCUUGCUGAAUGGGUUGGUUGCUGGAAGUCAGGGCUAUGGGGAGAGCUCUAAGCAGCCAGCUGGAGGACAGGCAUCGCUUAUGACAAAAGAGCUGGAUUUGGAGGUGCCUAGCAGGAAGUUUUCCAAAGAGAUAGCAGAGCUCCAGGGGACCGUGAGUGAGCUGUGGACAUCUGCCAUGCCACAGGGCACCAAUGCCCUUUUACAAUCCCUCCACUCAAGUAUUUAUGGAGCAUUGUUUUAUGGUGAUGAAUAGGACAGGGAAAGCCUCUGUUUUCAUGGUGCUCAUACGUUCAAGGAAGAGAGUCACCAAAAUCUGAUAAAUAAGAAACUAACUAACUGUGAGAAUAUCACGUAAUGAAAGUACUAUUAGAAAAUGAAACAAGGUGUGAAGGUGAGGAUGAAGGGGAGAGUGAAUGAAGGCCACGUUCAAUGGAAUGCUCAGGAAGGUCUUUUGGGGGAG
rnacentral:lncRNA from 1 species